ensembl:lncRNA
GGAAACAAUCAUACACAGAAAUCCUCAGAAGAUAACUGCAUUGCAGCUUUCUAGUUCUUUAGAAUAAAGCAGGUAGGAAGAGGGUUCGUCAUGCCUGCUGAAUAGUUGCAUAUGAAUUUAUUUUGCUAUGGCAGAGCAAUUCCAUUUGUCUUUGUAAUAUGUCAUAUGCUUCAUUCUAGUGUUGGAGAAAUUGAAAAAAGAUUGCUUAACCAUGUCAAAACUUGACUUACUUUUUUUAAAAGCACUUGUAGCUAUAAUUUCUUUACCUUUUUCCAGUGCUAGAGAUGGAACCCAGGCCUGUGGGCAUCCUGGAUCCCUGCAAGACAGUGAUUCACCUUCUACACAGGAGGAGAUGGAGAAACCGUCAACUAGCUGAAAUUGAGAGAGCAGCAGGUGUUCACAGUUGCUCUAAACAUCCCCCAGAUAGUGGAGCAUUUGGCUAGUAUUCGUAUGAUGCUCCAGUACUGCUCACAGGUAAAAUAAGCACACCUGCACAAACACAUAAUUGGAGUCCAGAAUUUGGAGACUGCCACAUAGAUUAUCCUAGAAAUGGGUGGAAGAAAACUUGGCUUGUAAUUCUAAGCAGAAGAGAAUAAUUUGACAUGACCUAACUACUGGCUGAGUGCAUACUUCUGAAACAGAAAACAGACUCAGAUACAUCUUUGAGAGUUCUUUGUCUCACAAUGUCCUCUCUGGCCUUUUGCUUUCUUUCUCUGUCCCUCCUUCCCUUCCCCCCCUUUUUUUUUAAUAAUUGUAUUUUUCUCUCUGUUUUGUACUCCACAGGUACAUAUAUGGCUUCCAAUUUUGUAUUUUUAUGGGAUUCCUGGGUGUGCAUGAGUGGAUCUCUGAAUCUGUAUGUGUUCUUGUGCCUUUUCAUGGGCUCUUUUCAUUUGUUUUGUCCUAUUCCACUAUUUUUAUAUUAUUAUAUGUCUUUAUUAUUAUUAUCCCUUUCAAGCCUGUUUGUUUUCUAAUGUAAUACCAAAAGUGGGUGGUUUCAUGUGGGAAGGGAGUGGGAAGGAACUAGGAGGGAAAAUGUAAUCUAGAUAUAUUUUAUGAAAAAAAUUUCAAUAAAGAGAAAAAUUCUUGUUUAGGAAACACUGUUUUUAAAAAAUAGAAUUUAGCUAAAGGAUGCCGCUGUAUGACUGGAAGAUAAGUAUUGUACUCACCAGGCUUUUUAGAAAGUGUAAAAAAAAAAAGAGUUUGUAACAUAAAGUUUGGAAUUGCUAAGAAAAUGUCUCACCCAACAUUUUUCACUAACAUUGACCUCCAAUUAACCAUAAGUAGGCAAGUCUGACUCUCAGUUAUCCCCAAAUCAUAGAGCAUGCCUCUAAGGGACAACUUAAGAGGGCAGUGCGGGAUAUUAUUAAGUCUUGUUCUGCCAUUAUACCCUCGUUCAGGAAAAGCACAAUUCUGUCAGGUGGACAAGAUGACCAGCUACCAGUUAUUUAAAGAGAACAGUAAUAGUGAUGUAUUUCAGAAUUAAUUCUGGAAAUAGCUUUGCUGUGUACAUGUCCCAUCUGACCAAGCUGCAUGGAUACUUACAGACACUAUUUCUAUUUAAACUGUUCUGUUCAUCAUGGAACGGAGACCUAAAAGAGAUGUGUGGAAUGUGGAACCCUAAGACCUAUAUAUACUGG